GUAAGUGUGUAUAAACUUAUAUAAAACAUAAAUGUUUUGCAGGAACUCACUGUUCACUAGUAGUUGAAAGCUGCAGCAGUUCUGCAUUCAAAAUAUAUGAUAAGAAGUCCAGCCACUCAAAGGAAUGAAGUGGUGCUGUGGUGAAUGGCAGAUAAUAGCACAAUCAGAAGGCACUAAAUAUGAAGGCAUCAAAUUUUUGUCUCACUUCCGUUUUCCACUGAGGGAGGAGGCUAUGGUUCACGGUUGAUUUGUAAGGUGUUUUCUGCAGAGUGUAGGGAACGUCCAGUCAAGGUAAAUUUAUAUGGAGCAUGUAGUGAUAAUAAGGAUUGCAAAAGAAAUUAUUUGGCACCUGUGGCGGACAGAUGAGUGAACUUUUGCCUUGAACAUUUCUUGGUACAUAAGGUGCAAGCAAACCAAAACCCCAAACAAGCCAUCUGUUCCCAGCGGAAACAGGACUGAGCUGCUGCGACCCCUCCCGCGACCAUGCGGGACACACCGAGCCUGCGCUGAACCGGACCAUGAUUGGACAGAGACUUUGGGACCUGGACUGCAAAUUACUGCCGCUUAACACAACUUUUAUAAAACUUGCUUAGCCGCACUCCCUAGUUCAGUGAGAAAGGGCCCCAGAGCUGGUGCAGACUGGAAAGAUAAGGGAGUUACAAGCAGUCUGCAUUCCUAUGCGUCACACUCCAGGAGGGAGGAUGUCAAGGCUUUGAAAUAAGGCCUGCUUGGGCGCCAGGACCCUGGGAAACAAAGCCUCCCCUCACUGCUGAAACAGUGUUAAUU